GUGAGUCAUCGAAUCUUUGAACGCACAUUGCGCCCUUUGGUAUUCCGAAGGGCAUGCCUGUUCGAGCGUCAUAUUAAACCUCUCAAGCCCCGCUUGGUAUUGGGAACGGCCGCCUGGCCGUCCUGCAACGCGUUGGGCGUGAGCACCUGGCCUCCAAGCGUAGCAACCCUUUCGCUUUGUGGCCUGGCGCCCGUCGCCGUGCAAGACCGUAACCGUCUCCACGUUUGACCUCGGAUCAGGUAGGGAUACCCGCUGAACUUAAGCAUAUCAAUAAGCGGAGGA
rnacentral:misc_RNA from 1 species